UUACAGCUUGAUAGGAGGAAAAGCCACAGUGUUCCCUGGGAGAAUGAAUACUGUCUGCAGUAUCAUACCAUAUAUUUCAGAAUAAAAGAGAGGGUUUAAAAUGUUCUCAUCCUACAGAAACAAUGACUAUUCCAGGUGAUGGACACACUGACUGUUCUGAUUUGAGCAUUACCUGUUGUAUGUGUGUAUCAAAAUGUCAUCUCUGUACCCUCAUAACUAUACACAAUUAGUACUUGUGAAUUAAAAAAAAAAAAAAAAGGAUGUACCCAUCUGGAGCACAGGGCUUGCUGCAGAGUAAAUGCCAGGAACUGUUGGCUGUGCUUCUGAGGCAUUGAGCCCUCAGAGCGUGUGCAGGAAGCCCCUGGUUCCCGGGUCUUCCUGGGCUGUGACCAACAGCUCUUUUCUUUCACCCUGCUUGUCCAUAAGCAAGUGUGCUAGGCAGAAGCAACCCAUAAGAACCUUGGCUGACGGGUCGUAAAGGUUGUGUUAGUUUGGGUUUCUAUCGUUAUGAAGAGACAACAUGACCAACUCUUAUAAAGGAAAACAUUUAAUCGGAGGCUGGCUUACAGUUCAGAGGUUUAGUUCAUUAUCAUCAUAGCAGGAGGCAUGGUGGCGUGCAGGCAGACAUGGUACUGGAGAGGUAGUUGAGAGUUCUACAUUCAGAUAGAUAGGGCAGGCAGAAGGUGAGCCACUAGACCUGGCCUGAGCUUCUGAAACCUCAAAGCCCAUCCCCAGUGACAUAUUUCCUCCAACAAGGUCACACCUAAUAGUGCCACUCCCUAUGAGCCUAUGGGGGCCAUUUUCUUUCAAACCAACACAAGGGUUUAGAAACCUUCUGGUUCAACCCUGCAUAUCCUAAGUGAGGAAGCUGGCCUGGAGUGGAAUAUCUGGGUGGUAGAAAGGAGAGUCAAACACAUGUGUUCCUACUCUCAUGUUCUUCCUCCUGGACUGUAAUGGCCUAGGGUGAAAGUUUAGUGUCUCAUGGGAGUCUGGUCUUGAGCAAUCAGGCUGGACCCCAAGGGUAAGAAGCCUCCACUCUUCCCUUGAGACCUUGUGGUCUCUUGUGGACUUUGAAGAAAGGAUAUUUUCAUCCACCCAUCCCUUGAGGUCGCAGAAUCCUGUGUUUAGGGCUUGGCAUCUGUCCUGGGUGAUCUCAGGCCUUCACCUCCUGCUCUCACUGCAGAGCCUGGUCUGAGACAAGACAACUCUGUUGUUUUGCAAGAGCUUUAGUAACUGUCUGCUCAGGCAGGGGCCUUGAAAAGUUAGACUCACUCUCUCCUGGUUCCAGAGGCUAGAGGUCCUGAGCCACCUGCCCCCCAUUUGCAGGAUUUGGGGAGGGUCUGCCCUUUCUCAUCCAGCUCCUGCCAGCUGCUGCCAGUCCCUGGUGUUGGUUUGAAGUUGCAUGGCCUGAGCCUCUUAGCUGUGUCACUUGGCCUUUUUAUAAGGAUGCUUGUCAUGCCCACCUUGCUACAGUAUGACCUCAUUUAAUUUAGCCAAUUGCAGUGCAAGAGUCUUAACUUACAUGAUGACGUUCCAGGGCAUAAACCUGGAGAGGGGCUGAGGUGGGCUUUGGUGCAGUCUUCUGAACUCUCCCCUCUCCUCUCACCUCUCCUCUGCAGGUCAUACAGUUUUCUCCAUGACCAGCUGCCCCCGGCCUUGCAGUCUCAGCUUUGCUCCAGAAGAGAACGGGUCCACCCUGUUGUUUUGUUUUGUAACAUUACAGAUCAGGUCUCUUAACUUGGCCUAGCCGAGUUCAUACGGGGUUCAGGAGUGUUCUCUGUAUUCCUUACCUUUUGGUAGCUCUGACAGGAGCAGCUUAAGGAAGGAAAGGUUCAUUUGGCUCACAGCUCACGCGUGUAGGCAGCCAUGACGGAAGCCAUGGCAACAGGAGUGCGAGGCAGCCGGCAUCCCUUGUAAAGGUGCUGCCCAGUUAGGGUGAACCUUUUUACCUCAAUUAACUCAGCCCAAACACUCAACCAGACACACCCAGAUUUGUGUCCUAGGUCAGUCUAGAUCCUGUUAAAGUGUUAUCCUCACAUUCAUACUUCCUGGUUAAAGAAUCGGAGACCUGAGAUGUUAGUAGAGGCUAUAGCCAUAACUAAAAAUUAAAUCAGAUAGGGGGAGGGGGGCAGGAAAGAGGGAAGGCGGAAGAGGAAGGAAGAAGCAGAGAGAGAAGAGAGGUUGAGUGUGAGUUGUUGACCAGGCAUGAAUGACUGAUUGGAAGAUGUUUUUUGGCAGAGAGCCAACGUAGCGAGACUUCUAGAAAGGACCUGUGCCAUAUGGGAGGCUCUGUGGAGUGGGGCAAGGUUGGUGUUCAUUUCCUCCUGCCAGCCCCUAGAUCUCAGAGUGUGAGUGUCACCAGCUGGUAGAGGACAGAUGUUAUGGUCAUUCUGACAGCUGUCCCUGAGCCCCCAGAACUGUCCGAGGGACUGGAGCAUCCUCAUGUCCUCUCAGAACAGAGCCUAUAGCCUCGCUUGCCUCCAUAGCUAGAAGGGGGAUGGUCCUGCAGGCUGCUGGGGGGUACCCCAGUGCUGGCGAUUCUCUCCUCAUGAGCCACAAAUGGCUUUGGUGGUGGUGAUGGUUUAAGAAUAGAUGGCUGAGCUGGGCACUGGUGGCACACACCUUUAAGCCUAGCACUUGGGAGGCAGAGGCAGGUAGAUUUCUGAGUUCGAGGCCAGCCUGGUCUACAGAGUGAGUUCCAGGACAUCCAGGCCUACACAGAAAAACCCUGUCUCAAAAAAACC
rnacentral:lncRNA from 1 species